GUUCUCUAGCUCAGUUGGUUGCGUCGAAAGGCGAAGCCUUUUGAGGCUUUGGGAGCACGACACUCUUAAUGUUGGGGUCGUGGGUUCGAGCCCCACGGGGACCA
rnacentral:tRNA from 2 species